rnacentral:lncRNA from 1 species
AUGAGCCAUGCUGUCGCCGGCCUUCGAGAAGGUCCACACACACACACACACACCCUGCUUGGCGAUCCCCCUAACGCCGAGGGCAGCAAAAGAAAAGCCGGGGGGGGGCGCGCAACAACCGCCAACCGCCGCCCUAAAACAAUACAGGCAGCGACCAGUCCUAUAUUCCAAACAGGGUUCGGGAAAGGCUGGAAGGAGGCGGCAGAGCAACUGACACAUUUAGAAAACUCCUGGCAAGUGACUCCUAAUCCGAUCACCAGAAGAUUGAGGCUCCAGCUUAGCAUGUUGACAUCAGGGACACAUUUGCCAAGCGAUUUACAUGCAGCUGCCCAUGCUAGCUUUCAUGCACCAGCGCAGAAAAUUGCCACUGACAGCUACUCCUGUGGCUUUUAAAAUGCCAUCAGUCUGCUAUGACCAUUUGUGUAUGAUCUGAGAAGAAAGACUUGUCUAGGAAGAUACUAUAGUACAGUGUUGAAAUACAUGAUUCAUAUACAGAAGGUCCAGUUUUAUCUUUGAGAUAUCCAUUCAGAAUACUGUACUGAGUUUCCAUGUGACAUGAAAGGCCUCUGCUCAAGACCCUGGAUAGCAUUUGGCAAUGAAAAUAGCCAAUAUUAAACUAGAUGAACAGUGUGACUAGAUACAGGACAGUGCUGCUUAGUUUUCGUCACAACUACACAAAAUAGAAAGCUACGUGUAUUUAGCAACAGAGUGUGGCAGGAGAAGAAUUCUACCACUGACCUCUACAACAGUCACUAUUACUAUAAUUCAACAUGGCCCAGGUGUAGUGCUUCGUAAUUUGUGGCCUGAGGUACAAUUGAACUCAGCCCUGACAUAAGCUCCAAACCUUUUUACCUUGAAACCCUUGUACACCAAUCUCAUGUAUGAUAUUGUUGUGCCUCAAAUAUGAAAUUCAUUCUGCACGUGCACAAAGGCACUCUCUUCAUUAGACUUCAUACGUUUCACAGGUUUAUUGGUACUGGCAAGUUCUGUUACAAAUAAAGACAUUUGUUUGAGCCUGCCA